rnacentral:rRNA from 1 species
AGUAAUGCUUGGGAAUCUAGCUUAUGGAGGGGGAUGACUACGGGAAACUGUAGCUAAUACCGCGUAGAAUCGGGAGAUGAAAGUGUGGGACCUUCGGGCCACAUGCCAUAGGAUGAGCCCAAGUGGGAUUAGGUAGUUGGUGAGGUAAAGGCUCACCAAGCCGACGAUCUCUAGCUGGUCUGAGAGGAUGACCAGCCACACUGGGACUGAGACACGGCCCAG